rnacentral:rRNA from 1 species
AUACGGAGGAUGCGAGCGUUAUCCGGAUUUAUUGGGUUUAAAGGGUGCGUAGGCUGUUUGGUAAGUCAGGGGUGAAAUGCCGUCGCUCAACGACGGAGCUGCCCUUGAUACUGCCGAGCUGGAGUACGGAUGCCGUUGGAGGAAUGAGUGGUGUAGCGGUGAAAUGCAUAGAUAUCACUCAGAACACCGAUUGCGAAGGCAGCUGAAGAUUCCGUCACUGACGCUGAGGCACGAAAGCGUGGGGAUAGAACAGGAUUAGAUCCCCUGGUAUUCCACGCCGUAAACGAUGAUGACUAACCGCCUGCGAUACAAUGUAGGUGGCCGAGCGAAAGCGAUAAGUCAUCCACCUGGGGAGUACGACCGCAAGGUUGAAACUCAAAUGAAUUGGCGGGG